GGUCAGGAGAUUGAGACCAUCCUGGCUAACACGGUGAAACCCCGUCUCUACUAAAAAUACAAAAAAAUUAGCCGGGCGUGGCGGCGGGCGCCUGUAGUCCCAGCUACUUGGGAGGCUGAGGCAGGAGAAUGGUGCGAACCCGGGAGGCAGAUUUUGCAGAGAGCCGAGAUCGUGCCACUGCACUCCAGCCUGGGCGACAGAGCAAGACUCCGUCUCAAAACAAAAAACAAACAAACAAAUAUGGAGCAUUCUGAUAUGAAUAAGACACUUGCUCACUUCUCAAUUCCUUGGUGUCCAGCUCUACAAGUGUAUAUAGACUUCCAAAGAAUAUUUAAAUCCUUUAACAAAAAUGCCACCUAAGAAAAUAUGAAAUACUUCAGUCUGUCUGUCAGUGCUCACUUCCUGUCUAGAAACUUUCAGGCUCCGGCACAAAUGAACCAUGUUCUUCGCCUAAGUCAUUUAUGGAACAUCUGCUUUCGGUUUAGCAUCAGCUUUGUGACCUAGUAAUAUCUUUCUCGAGUGCAUGAAACAUCUCAGAAAUGCAAACAUCAAGGAAGAUACUAAUCCUUUCUUCCAGUUUCUGUGUGAGGGUUGGAGGCUGACUUUGGUGGUGAUCUUGCUCCAAAUUAUAGAACUACAUCCUGUCAUGAAGAGAAGUUUGUCUUCUCGAUAAAGCCAAGUAGCUAACAGAGAUGGUCACCCCAAUUACCAGAUGGACAUAAUUAUACUUGAAUGCUGACCUACAACAUUUUGUGCUGUGCAGAGGCUUUGAAAAUCAAACAACUUUGAAAAUACAAAGCACCGCGUGGAUGUAAGUUUAUUAAAUUUUGUUUUCAUCAACAUUCAAUUGAGGGUAUCACUUCAGAAACAUUAUAAGAUUUAUUAUUAUCAAUGCUUAGAAUAGCAUGAAUAUACUGGAGAGAUUUAUAUAUGAUAAGUUUAGCACACUAUGUUUACAACAUACCCAAAAAAAGCACACUUGUUAGCACUUCAAUUUAACAUGAAUGGAAUUUGCAUGAAUAGAUCGGGGGAAGCAUUGAGUCCCUAGUAGCAGAGAAAUACCAGGAAAAAUACUAGUGAUUUUGAGCAGCAAAAGGGCUUUGCCUGAAUUAAUAAAUAAGCUAUCUGGUGAUGGUAAUUAUAGCAUUGCUCUCUACCUUUGUAUGACACAAAUAUAUCUGGGAAGAGCAAAUAGACAUGAGUUGGGGAAACAGACUAUUAAUAUAAAGUAUCAUGUAACAGAUCUUAGUUGAAGCAUUGCAUUCACUUUAAAUAGGGCAAGUAGAAAAUUAUGAAUUUUAUAACUCUAAAACCUUUUACUUUGCCCAUUUGCCAAGUCCCAGUUUUCACAUAAAACAUUUUUCUUCUUGUUGAAUUUACUUUCUUCACUUUGUUACGCUUAAACCAGCUUUGAUGAAAACUAUUUCCUAUGAUGUGACAUAGGAGCUCUAGCAGAAGCUUGUUCACUUGUAUGUAAUAUGAGCAUUGCGCCGAGCAAACACCAUUUAGAUACUACCAUUAUUAUAAGGCUCAUUUAGAUACUACCACUAUUAGGCUCAGCAAUCAAACAAACAUUUACCUAGAGUAGAGGCACUAAAAUGCAUAUUCACAAUGGAAAAUUCUCCAUUCGAAUUAACGCACACCUUAAAGACCAAACCUGGCACUGCAUUCUAUAUAUCUAGACUGAGAU
rnacentral:lncRNA from 1 species